GGAGGCUGAUCCUGUCUUUGGUUAUCUAGCUGUAUGAGUGUUAAGCCUCCUUCAUAAAGCUAGCUAACCGAAAGUAGGACUGGCCUCC
rnacentral:pre_miRNA from 10 species